rnacentral:rRNA from 1 species
UGAGCAAUCUGCCCUUCUCAUCGGAAUAAGCGUUGGAAACGACGUCUAAUGCCGAAUACGACCUCCUUUCGCAUGAUCGGAGGUGGAAAGCUCCGGCGGUGAAGGAUGAGCUCGCGGCCUAUCAGCUAGUUGGUGAGGUAAUAGCUCACCAAGGCAACGACGGGUANCCAGCCUGAGAGGGUGACCGGCCACACGUGGGACUGAGACACGGCCCAGACCUCUACGGGAG